rnacentral:rRNA from 1 species
GAUGAACGCUGGCUACAGGCUUAACACAUGCAAGUCGAGGGGAAACGACGGGGAAGCUUGCUUCCCCGGGCGUCGACCGGCGCACGGGUGAGUAACGCGUAUCCAACCUGCCUCUGACUGAGGGAUAACCCGUCGAAAGUCGGCCUAAUACCUCAUGCCCUCGUCUUCGGGCAUCCAACGACGAUUAAAGAUUUCAUCGGUCAGAGAUGGGGAUGCGUGUGAUUAGCUUGUUGGCGGGGUAACGGCCCACCAAGGCGACGAUCAGUAGGGGUGCUGAGAGGAAGGUCCCCCACAUUGGAACUGAGACCCGGACCAAAAUCCUACGGGAGGGAGCAGUGAGGAAUAUUGGUCAAUGGGCGAGAGCCUGAACCAGCCAAGUAGCGUGCAGGAGGACGGCCCUAUGGGUUGUAACCUGCUUUUAAGCGAGGAUAAAGUGAGGGACGUGUCCUUCAUUGCAGGUACCGCAUGAAUAAGGACCGGCUAAUUCCGUG